rnacentral:tRNA from 1 species
GGCGGUUUGGCCGAGUGGUCUAAGGCGAUUGAGUACGUUUCUCUUCCAAUAAUUGGAUCCACAAAACAUUCACUAACAAUCUCCACAGCUAGAAAUCAAUUCCGUUCGCGGGCGCAUGUUCGAAUCAUGCAGCCGUCG